AGUGAACGCUGGCGGUAGGCCUAACACAUGCAAGUCGAACGGCAGCACAGUAAGAGCUUGCUCUUACGGGUGGCGAGUGGCGGACGGGUGAGGAAUACAUCGGAAUCUACUUUUUCGUGGGGGAUAACGUAGGGAAACUUACGCUAAUACCGCAUACGACCUACGGGGGAAAGCAGGGGAUCUUCGGACCUUGCGCGAAGGAAUGAGCCGAUGUCGGAUUAGCUAGUUGGCGGGGUAAAGGCCUCACAAGGCGACGAUCCGUAGCUGGUCUGAGAGGAUGAUCAGCCACCCUGGAACUGAGACACGGUCCAGACUCCUACGGGAGGCAGCAGUCGGGAAUAUUGGACAAUGGGCGCAAGCCUGAUCCAGCCAUACCGCGUGGGUCAAGAAGGCCUUCGGGUUGUAAAGCCCUUUUGUUGGGAAAGAAAAGCAGCAGGUUAAUACCCCGCUGUUCUGACGGUACCCAAAGAAUAAGCACCGGCUAACUUCGUG
rnacentral:rRNA from 1 species